GUUACCCUGCAGCUUCAGACUCUGAAGAGCGGUGUUUGGCACUAGUGAUUUGGUUGAUUUUUCUAAGAUUGAUAUGGACUUUGGAGUGGCAUUUGGAAAUGGAAAUGGACUUAUUGAUGGACGGGACAGCAAUUUCGAAAGAAUUAUCUCCUUUCUUUAGUGUGAAAGUCAUAUCAAGGAUAAAACAAAUAAAUUUUUAUUUGAAAAGAUUACCUGCCCAUGAAGACAUUACGGAAUGUACGGUGCAUUUUUUCAGUCAGGUACCCAGUGUCACGUGUAGUGUGUGUGUUGAGUAAGUGUCUUGUUACUUUGAAAAGUCGACGUCAUUGUCUUUGCAAAGAGACGCUAAUUGUAUCCGAACGUCUGCUGUC